rnacentral:rRNA from 1 species
GGAAACAGAUGCUAAUACCGAAUAAAACUUAGUAUCGCAUGAUAUAAAGUUAAAAGGCGCUACGGCGUCACCUAGAGAUGGAUCCGCGGUGCAUUAGUUAGUUGGUGGGGUAAAGGCUUACCAAGACAAUGAUGCAUAGCCGAGUUGAGAGACUGAUCGGCCACAUUGGGACUGAGACACGGCCCAAACUCCUACGGGAGGCUGCAGUAGGGAAUCUUCCACAAUGGGCGCAAGCCUGAUGGAGCAACGCCGCGUGUGUGAUGAAGGCUUUCGGGUCGUAAAGCACUGUUGUAUGGGAAGAAAUGCUAAAAUAGGGAAUGAUUUUAGUUUGACGGUACCAUACCAGAAAGGGACGGCUAAAUACGUGCCAGCAGCCGCGGUAAUACGUAUGUCCCGAGCGUUAUCCGGAUUUAUUGGGCGUAAAGCGAGCGCAGACGGUUGAUUAAGUCUGAUGUGAAAGCCCGGAGCUCAACUCCGGAAUGGCAUUGGAAACUGGUUAACUUGAGUGUUGUAGAGGUAAGUGGAACUCCAUGUGUAGCGGUGGAAUGCGUAGAUAUAUGGAAGAACACCAGUGGCGAAGGCGGCUUACUGGACAACAACUGACGUUGAGGCUCGAAAGUGUGGGUAGCAAACAGGAUUAGAUACCCUGGUAGUCCACACCGUAAACGAUGAAUACUAGGUGUUAGGAGGUUUCCGCCUCUUAGUGCCGAAGCUAACGCAUUAAGUAUUCCGCCUGGGGAGUACGACCGCAAGGUUGAAACUCAAAGGAAUUGACGGGGACCCGCACAAGCGGUGGAGCAUGUGGUUUAAUUCGAAGCAACGCGAAGAACCUUACCAGGUCUUGACAUCCUUUGAAGCUUUUAGAGAUAGAAGUGUUCUCUUCGGAGACAAAGUGACAGGUGGUGCAUGGUCGUCGUCAGCUCGUGUCGUG